rnacentral:rRNA from 1 species
AGUGAACGCUGGCGGUAGGCCUAACACAUGCAAGUCGAACGGCAGCACAGUAAGAGCUUGCUCUUACGGGUGGCGAGUGGCGGACGGGUGAGGAAUACAUCGGAAUCUACUUUUUCGUGGGGGAUAACGUAGGGAAACUUACGCUAAUACCGCAUACGACCUACGGGUGAAAGCAGGGGAUCUUCGGACCUUGCGCGAUUGAAUGAGCCGAUGUCGGAUUAGCUAGUUGGCGGGGUAAAGGCCCACCAAGGCGACGAUCCGUAGCUGGUCUGAGAGGAUGAUCAGCCACACGGGAACUGAGACACGGUCCAGACUCCUACGGGAGGCAGCAGUGGGGAAUAUUGGACAAUGGGCGCAAGCCUGAUCCAGCCAUACCGCGUGGGUGAAGAAGGCCUUCGGGUUGUAAAGCCCUUUUGUUGGGAAAGAAAAGCAGCAGGUUAAUACCCCGCUGCUCUGACGGUACCCAAAGAAUAAGCACCGGCUAACUUCGUG